AAGUGGCGCCCGCACAGGGACCUGAGUGCGUGAGGCAUUUCGGAAGAUUUCAGGGAGGCAGACUCUCCGCGGUGGCUCCCGGAGCGCUUGGUUCGACAUUAUCAUGCCAUCACCAAUAAACACCCUGACUCGAAGAAUGCGUCGCCUGAGGCUCUCGCAAUCGACCACAGCACACCCCAACCGGUUCCCCCGGCGGACGAGAAGAAUGCGGCGACGGAGUAGGAGAGAACUUGUCAGGGAGGCGAGGGGAGAUCGAAAUCAAAUUACUUGACUGUUCCUAGACGAGAAGAUUUAUCCACCUUUGUAUUUUGGUAUAAGGAUAACGUUCCCAUUCACAUGAAUGCUAGAGUAACUAAGCUUGCUUCUAAUACUUCGUUGGAUCAUUCUCUAUGCAUAUAUCGCUUGAGGAUUGAAGAUACUGGACAUUAUUUGUGUAUUGAAACUACCAUAGGUAAUCAAGGGACGUUAUUAGCUGGACAUCAAAUUACGGUCGUAAAGACUGUCACAGGACUACAAUUUCCUGCUUUUAUGGCUUCUGAAUUCCCGCAGUUUGAUUUUCCUGUUUGUAAUGAUACAUGGACUAAAGCCUCUGUCUGGUGUACUUUAGAUUAUGAUAAUGGCACCAUACUAGUUUCUUCUGUCCCCGUUAAUAAUAACAGCCUUGUUUUUUACAAGCAAUGGGAAUUCUGGAAACUUGCCUUAUCCUUUUCUUAUAGACCGGUGAUUACUUGCGUCGCUCCUCCUUAUGCUUUAUUGAUUGGAGAUUUAAUUGUAGAA